CGCUGGCGGCAUGCCUUACACAUGCAAGUCGAACGGCAGCACGGGAGCAAUCCUGGUGGCGAGUGGCGAACGGGUGAGUAAUAUAUCGGAACGUGCCCAGUCGUGGGGGAUAACGUAGCGAAAGCUACGCUAAUACCGCAUACGAUCUAUGGAUGAAAGCGGGGGAUCGCAAGACCUCGCGCGAUUGGAGCGGCCGAUAUCAGAUUAGGUAGUUGGUGGGGUAAAGGCUCACCAAGCCAACGAUCUGUAGCUGGUCUGAGAGGACGACCAGCCACACUGGAACUGAGACACGGUCCAGACUCCUACGGGAGGCAGCAGUGGGGAAUUUUGGACAAUGGACGCAAGUCUGAUCCAGCCAUUCCGCGUGCAGGAUGAAGGCCCUCGGGUUGUAAACUGCUUUUGUACGGAACGAAAAGGUUUCUCUUAAUACGAGGAGCUCAUGACGGUACCGUAAGAAUAAGCACCGGCUAACUACGUG
rnacentral:rRNA from 1 species